GAUGAACGCUGGCGGCGUGCCUAAUACAUGCAAGUCGAGCGAACAGAUGAGGAGCUUGCUCCUCUGACGUUAGCGGCGGACGGGUGAGUAACACGUGGAUAACCUACCUAUAAGACUGGGAUAACUUCGGGAAACCGGAGCUAAUACCGGAUAAUAUAUUGAACCGCAUGGUUCAAUAGUGAAAGACGGUUUUGCUGUCACUUAUAGAUGGAUCCGCGCCGCAUUAGCUAGUUGGUAAGGUAACGGCUUACCAAGGCGACGAUGCGUAGCCGACCUGAGAGGGUGAUCGGCCACACUGGAACUGAGACACGGUCCAGACUCCUACGGGAGGCAGCAGUAGGGAAUCUUCCGCAAUGGGCGAAAGCUUGACGGAGCAACGCCGCGUGAGUGAUGAAGGUCUUCGGAUCGUAUAACUCUGUUAUUAGGGAAGAACAAAUGUGUAAGUAACUAUGCACGUCUUGACGGUACCUAAUCAGAAAGCCACGGCUAACUACGUG
rnacentral:rRNA from 1 species